UACACGCUGUGACUAGCAUAUCAAUAAGCGGAGGAAAAGAAACUAACAAGGAUUCCCCUAGUAACGGCGAGUGAAGCGGGAAGAGCUCAAAUUUGAAAUCUUAAAGGGUUUCCCUUUACGAAUUGUAGUUUAAAGAAGUGUUUUCUGUUGAGGUUUUGGUAAAAGUUCUUUGGAAUAGGACAUCAUAGAGGGUGAGAAUCCCGUAUUUGACCUUUACUUUCAACUUUGUGAUACACUUUCAAAGAGUCGGAUUGUUUGGGAAUGCAGUCCAAAAUGGGUGGUAAAUUUCAUCUAAAGCUAAAUAUUGGCGAGAGACCGAUAGCGAACAAGUACCGUGAGGGAAAGAUGAAAAGAACUUUGAAAAGAGAGUUAAACAGUACGUGAAAUUGUCAAAAGGGAAGCGUUUGACACCAGUGUUGUUUUUCUGAAAAUCAAUUAAAGAACUGUUUAUGCUAAGCUGUUUAGACUUUAUCAGCUAUCUGUUUAGUUUUGAGCUUUUCUUUAAUGCACUUUUCAGUUAACAAGUCAACAUCAAUUUCUUUUGCUGUAAAAAAGCUUGAGGAAGGUGGCUUGAGAUUCGUCUUAAGUGUUUAUAGCCUCUUGCCUAUGCAGUCGGAGAGAUUGAGGUCUGCAGCGUAGAUCCUUCGGGGCUAAAUGCAUUUGUGCUAAGUUAUAGCAUUUCAUAGACAACUUGUUGACUAUGAUUUGUCUUGUAGCUUACUCGCUUAUGUUAUUUUACCUACGCUUAGGAUGUUGACGAGACUGUCGAUCUCAUCUAUACAUGACUCUGCGCAUAUCAAUAAGCGGAGGAAAAGUACCUACGCUUAGGAUGUUGACGAGACUGUCGAUCUCAUCUAUACAUGACUCUGUGCAUAUCAAUAAGCGGAGGAAAAGAGGGCUAUUACCUACGCUUAGGAUGUUGACGAGACUGUCGAUCUCAUCUAUACAUGACUCUGUGCAUAUCAAUAAGCGGAGGAAAAGUACCUACGCUUAGGAUGUUGACGAGACUGUCGAUCUCAUCUAUACAUGACUCUGUGCAUAUCAAUAAGCGGAGGAAAAGGCUGCGGAACUGAACGACCGCUACCUACGCUUAGGAUGUUGACGAGACUGUCGAUCUCAUCUAUACAUGACUCUGUGCAUAUCAAUAAGCGGAGGAAAAGAAACUAACAAGGAUUCCCCUAGUAACGGCGAGUGAAGCGGGAAGAGCUCAAAUUUGAAAUCUUAAAGGGUUUCCCUUUACGAAUUGUAGUUUAAAGAAGUGUUUUCUGUUGAGGUUUUGGUAAAAGUUCUUUGGAAUAGGACAUCAUAGAGGGUGAGAAUCCCGUAUUUGACCUUUACUUUCAACUUUGUGAUACACUUUCAAAGAGUCGGAUUGUUUGGGAAUGCAGUCCAAAAUGGGUGGUAAAUUUCAUCUAAAGCUAAAUAUUGGCGAGUGACCGAUAGCGAACAAGUACCGUGAGGGAAAGAUGAAAAGAACUUUGAAAAGAGAGUUAAACAGUACGUGAAAUUGUCAAAAGGGAAGCGUUUGACACCAGUGUUGUUUUUCUGAAAAUCAAUUAAAGAACUGUUUAUGCUAAGUUGUUUAGACUUUAUCAGCUAACUGUUUAGUUUUGAGCUUUUCUUUAAUGCACUUUUCAGUUAACAAGUCAACAUCAAUUUCUUUUGCUGUAAAAAAGCUUGAGGAAGAUGGCUUGAGAUUCGUCUUAAGUGUUUAUAGCCUCUUGCCUAUGCAGUCGGAGAGAUUGAGGUCCGCAGCGUAGAUCCUUCGGGGCUAAAUGCAUUUGUGCUAAGUUAUAGCAUUUUAUAGACAACUUGUUGACUAUGAUUUGUCUUGUAGCUUACUCGCUUAUGUUAUUUUACCUACGCUUAGGAUGUUGACGAGACUGUCGAUCUC
rnacentral:rRNA from 1 species